rnacentral:rRNA from 1 species
AUUGAACGCUGGCGGCAGGCCUAACACAUGCAAGUCGAACGAGUGGCGGACGGGUGAGUAAUGUCUGGGAAACUGCCUGAUGGAGGGGGAUAACUACUGGAAACGGUAGCUAAUACCGCAUACCAUCGGAUGUGCCCAGAUGGGAUUAGCGAGUAGGUGGGGUAAAGGCUCACCUAGGCGACGAUGCCUAGCUGGUCUGAGAGGAUGACAUGCGGACUGGGAACUGAUACAUGUCCCGCAAGACUACGGCAGAGACCAGGCGGGAAUUCUGCAGAGUGGGCGAAGGGCGUAGUGUGCCAUGCCGGGGGAGAUACGAAGGCUUUCGGGUUGUAAUAUAUUUUAGGCCGGUAGGCUUUACCCGCGGAAGAAGCCCCGGCUAACUCCGUGCCAGCAGCCGCGGUAAUAC